UUCUGUGACUUUGCAGCCCCGGCUUGGUGAUAAUUUUUGUGCAGGCUUCUUGACAUGGAAAGCAGAGCUCCCCAGCACAGAGUGAGCCUCCGAAGGGCUCCUGCCCUUACCGGUGCCCUACCCUCCCUUUCCCUGCUUGCUACACUUGGGUCCGGGACUCAGCCUCCCUUUGCAAGCUUCUGCUCGGCCUGUGUGCAGCUGCACUUAGCUGGCAGGGUCAGGCGUUGAGUAGCCGCUCCGCUCCUUCUGCAGCCUCCUGCAGCCCCCGCCAGCUCCCGGGCUCCAUCCCUCACCAUCAGUUGCUGAUUGGCGCCCCCUGCGUGCACAACGGAGGCUGGCUGCACCUGGAGGUUCCCAGCAAUUCCAGGCCGGCUCCAGCCUAGCCAAAGCAGCUAACUUCUCUGCUGUCUCGUGGGCUGAACCUCACCGUUUCCCAAGAGGAGCUGCCUGGCAAUGGUAGCAGGUGAAGGUCAUGGUGAAGAAGAUGCAGAUAUUGGCAAUUUGGAGCAUUAGAUGAACUAAUUACAACGUUAACCUAAGGAACAGUGCAACAGAAAAUGGGCUAAGACAUGGAGCAAGGGGCAGAACGACUCUUGAAGAUGCUGAGCAACUUCUGCUCAGCCACUUGGGUCUCCUUUGCCAAGGAGUGUCCUCCCUCUGGAACUCAAUACCAGCUCUUUCUUCUUCUGGAAUCUUCUCUCAGCUCUUUUAAGGACAGUGGUUCUUUCAACUGCUCCUUAUGUGAAGAAUUUCUCCAGGAUUCAUCAUUCCAUCUGGAUCUGUAUAAAUAAAGCUGAAGUUCUGGUCAUGACCACUCCCUGGAUCACUCCUGCCCCUGUGUUCCUGGAGCCUCAGAGUUUUGCGUCACAUGAGCUCCCAAGCUCUUCCUUUCUCAUUCAUCUGCUUUGGUUCAUUCUUGUUGAGACUCACUAUAAGGAAAGCACCUCAUCCUGCUACAGCUGGGUACAGAACUCUGAUGUCUUCAUAAAAGUUGCUGCCUCUUGGGAGCUGUGAGCAUUGGGAUCAGCCAGUAUGGCACAUUUGCUGCUACCUCAGGGCGUGAGAGCAUGCUAAGCUCCACAUGAAGGCCUCACUUUCCCACACUAUCUCCACUGAGCACUGAAGUGAUGAUGUUGUGUCCCUGUGUCUCAGGGGUAAAUGGAGGCAGCCUUUUUCUUUUCAGGGCUGACACAAAAAGUCAAUGGGGCUUGGGGAUGAAUAACAACAAAGGACAGGCCCUCUUGCAUGAGGUCAGUCCCUCCUGCUCCUGCCCUCAAAUGUAUAUGCAAAACUAUUUUCCUUGUUCUGUGCAUGAGGUCACUGUCUAUGGUCCCAUUGAUAUGGUUUGGCUAUGGACUGACCUAAAUCUCAUCUUGAAUUGUAAUAAUCCCCAUAUGUCAAGGGUGGGGUCAGGUGGAGGUAAUGGAAUCACAGGGGGUGGCUUCCCCCAUACUAUUCUCAUGAUAGUGAAAAAGUCUCACGAAAUCUGAUAGUUUUAUAAAUGGGAGUUUCCCUGCACAAGCUCUCUUGCCUGCUGCCAUGUAAGACAUGAUUUUGCUCCUCAUUUGCCUUCCAUAAUGAUUGUGAGACCUCCCCAGCCAUGUGGAACUGUGAGUCAAUUAAACCUCUUUCCUUUAUAAAUUACCCAGUGUUGGGUAUAUCUUUAUUAGCAGUGUGGGAACAGGCUAAUACAGUAAUUGGUACCAGUAGAGUGGGAUUCUGCUGUAAAGAUACCCCAAAAAUGUGGAGGUGACUAUGGAACUGGGUAACAGGCAGAAGUUGGAACAGUUUGGAGGACUCAGAAGACAGGAAAAUGUGGAAAAGUUUGGAGCUUUAUAGAGACUCGGAGGGCUCAUAAGCCAGGAAAAUACGGGAAAGUUUGGAAUUUCCUAGAGACUUGUUGAAUGGUUUUGACCAAAAUGCUGAUAGUGAUAUGGAAAAUAAAGUCCAGGUUGAGGAGGUCUCAGAUGGAGAUGAAGAGCAAAGGUAACUCUUGUCAUGCUUUAGCAAAAAGACUGGCAGCAUUUUGCUUCUGCCAUAGAGAUCUGUGGAACUUGGAACUUGAGAAAGAUGAUUUAGGCAUCCGGUGGAAGAAAUUUUUAAAUAGCAAGGCAUUCAAGAUGUGACUUGGGUGCUGUUAAAAGCAUUCAGUUUUCUGUAUUCACAAAGAUAUGGUUUGGAAUCAGAACUUAUGCUUAAAAGGGAAGCAGAGCAUAAAAAUUUAGAAAAUUUGCAGGCUGAUGAUGCAAUAGAAAAGAAAAACCCAUUUUCUGAGGAGAAAUUCAAGCCUGCUGCAGAAAUUUGCGUAAAUAAUGAGGAGAAAAAUGUUAAUCACCAAGAAAAUGCAGAAAAUGUCUCCAGGGUAUCACAGAGAGAUUUGCAGCAGCCCCUCCCAUCACAGGCCUAGAGGCCUAGGAGGAAAAAAUGGUUUCGUGGGCUGGGCCCAUGGCCUCGCUGCUCUGUGCAGCCUAGGGACUUGGUGCUCUGUGUCCCAGCCACUCUAGCUGUGGCUAAAAGAGGACAAGGUACAGCUCAGGCUGUGGCUUCAGAGGGUGGAAGCCCCAAGCCUUGGCAGCUUCCAUGUGGUGUUGAGCUUGUGGGUGCACAGAAGUUAGGAAUUGAGGUUUGGAAACCUCUGCCUAGUUUCAGAAGAAGUAUGGAAGCACCUGGAUGUCCAGGCAGAAGUUUGCCGUAGGGGUAGGGUCCUCAUGGAGAACCUCUGCUAGGGCUGUGUGAAAGAGCAAUGUGGGGUGGGGUCCCCCAGACAGAGUCCCUACUUGGGCACUGCCUAGUGGAGCUGUGAGAAGAAGCCCACCAUCCCGCAGACUCCAGAGUGGUAGGUCCACCAAUAGCUUGCACCGUGCACCUGGAAAAGUGGCAGACACUCAAUGCCAGCCCAUGAAAGCAACCAGGAGGGAGGCUGUACCCUACAAAGCCACAGAAUGGAGCUGCCCAAGACCAUGGGAACACACCUCUUGCAUCUGUAUGACCUGGAUGUGAGAAAUGGAGUCAAAGAAGAUCAUUUUGGAGCUUUAAGAUUUGACUGCCCCCCUGGAUUUCAAACUUGGAUGGGGUCUGUAGCUCCUUCGUUUUGGCCAGUUUCUUCCAUUUGGAACAGCUGUAUUUGACCAAUGACAGUACCCUCAUUAUAUCUAGGAAGCAACUUACUUGGUUUUGAUUUUACAGGCUCAUAGGUGGAAGAGAGUUUCCUGGUUUCAGAUGAGACUUUGGACUGGGACUUUUGGGUUAAUGCUGUAAUGAGUUAAGACUUUGGGGGACAGUUGGGAAGGCAAGAUUGUUUUUUGAAAUGUGAAAGUGACAUGAGAUUUGGGAGGGUCUGGGGGCAGAAUGAUGUGGUUUGGGUGUUUCCCGACCCAAAUUUCAUCUUGAAUUGUAAUAAUCCACACAUGUCAAGAACAGGGCCAGGUGAAGAUACUUGAAUCAUGGGGGUGAUUUCCUCCAAACUGUUCUCAUGGUAGUGAAUAAAUCUCAAGAGAUCUGAUGGUUUUAUAAAUGGGAUUUCCUCUGCACAAACUUUCUUUCCUGUCACCAUGUAAGACGUGACUUUGCUCAUCAUUCAUCUUCCACCAUGUUUGUAAGGCCUCCCCAACUAUAUGGAACUGUGAGUCAAUUAA
rnacentral:lncRNA from 1 species